GGGACAGGGUUUCCCGAAAUCCAUAUUUAGGUGUGGGUUUCAAACUGCCAUUGGGUGCUGCAACCAAAAGUUAUGGUUCGGAGCAUAAUUGGAAAAGGCUAGUGAAUUAGGUUAGUG
rfam:Clostridium aceticum strain DSM 1496, complete genome.